rnacentral:lncRNA from 10 species
UACACAGUAGCAAGAUUCUUGAAUCAUAUAGUAAUUCUAUUUUUAGCUUUUUGAGGAAAAUCCCCAUAAUGUUUUCCUUAAUGGCUGUAGUAAUUUAUAUUCUCUCCAACACAGCAUGAGAGUUUCCUUUUUCCCACAUCCUUGCCAGCCUUUGUUAUUUUUUGUCUUUUUAAUAAUAACCCUUUUAACUGAGGUGAGAUAUCUCAUUGUGGUUUUGAUUUGCAUUUUCCUGAUGUUAUUUUUUUAAUAUACUUGUGGCCAUUUGGAAAUCUUCUCUGGAGAAAUGUCUGUACAGAUCCUCUGCCCAUUUUAAAAUUGGAUUAUUUGUUUUUUUAGCUCUUGUGUUGUUUCAGUACCGUGUAUAUUCUGGAUAUUAACCUAUUGUCAGAUGUAUAGUUUGCAAAUAUUUUCUCCCAUUCUGUAGGUUGUCUCUUUACUCUGUUAUUUGUUUCCUUUGCUGUGAAGGAACUUUUUACUUUGGUGUAAUCCCACUUGCCUAUUUUUGCUUUUAUUGUCAUUACUUUUGAGGCCUUAACUAUAAAAUAUUUGCUCAGACCAAUGUCUUGAAGCAUUUCCCCCGUUUUCUUCUAACAGUUUCAUAGUUUUAGGUCUUAUAUUGAAGUCUUUUAUUUUGUGUUGAUUUCUGUACAUAGGGAGAGAUAGGGGUCUAGUUUUAUUGUUUAUGGAUAUCCAGUUUUCCUAGAACCAUUUAUUGGAGAGGGUGUUCUUUCCUCAAUUUAUAUUCUUGGCCCCUUUAUUGAAAAUCAGUUGUCUGUAAAUACAUGGAUUUCUGGCCCCCUUAUUCUGUUCCACUGUUCCAUGUGUCUGUUUUUAUGUAAGUACAUGCUGUUUUGGUUACUAAAGCUUUGUAGUAUAUUUUGAAGUCAGGUAGUAUGAGGCCUCCAGUUUUGUUCUUUUUGCUCAAGAUUGCUUUGGCUAUUUAGGGUCUUCUGUGGUUCCAUAUGAAUUUUAGGAUUUUUUUUUUUCUAUUUCUGUGAAGAAUGUCAUUGGUAUUUUAAUAGGGAUUUCAUUGAAUCUAUUGGUUCAGACUUCCUCCUUUAGCUCAGAGUAGUUUGAUCUUCUGAAGCCUUCCUCUCGUCAAAGUCAUUUUCCAUCCAGCUUUGUUCCAUUGCUGGUGAGGAGCUGCGUUCCUUUGGAGGAGGAGAGGUGCUCUGAUUUUUAGAGUUUCUGGUUAUUCUGCUGUGUUUUUUCCCCAUCUUUGUGGUUUUAUGUACCUUUGGUCUUCGAUGAUGACCACAUACAGAUGGGUUUUUGGUGUGGAUGUCCUUUCUGUUUGUUAGUUUUCCUUCUUACAGUCAGGACCCUCAGCUGCAGAUCCGUUGGAUUUUACUGGAGGUCCACUCC